rnacentral:lncRNA from 1 species
UGCUAAAUCCACUGCCAGCUAAGGACAACCAUAGAUAAGGCAAGGUUGAUUUGAAUCACUUUCCACUAACUAAUGGAGAGCAUUUUUAUUUUACACAGGAUAAUCUUUGGCUGAUAAUCUAAUAUGCAAACUUAGUGUGCAAUUUAUGCAAUUAUGUCAUUAUUAAAGUGUAGCAUCCUAUAUCUUCUGCAGAUUACUAAAUAUGCCCCCUCAUCUAGCAAUCAGAGACCUGUAAAAAAGAUGAAAUUCGUUUCUAUAAGAUAGGUAGAAAAGUCAGUUAGCCUAUGUUUUUCAUCAAAUAGCCUUUGAUUUGAUGCUUAAUAUUAAUUGUUUUUAACUGUGUGAAUGUUAUGUUAUUUAGUGUGUCUAAACCACAAAUGGCUCCUGGCAAGACCUCAUACCAUUAACAAUGAGAUUAGCAGAGGAAAAUUCAAAAACACUCAUGGGGAUUGUUUGUACUGUUUUUUGUUGGGUAUGUUUUUGCUCUGUGGGAUAGAAGACAGUUUAAAACAGCACUGCAUGAAAAAAGAAGCGACUGACCGCAGGUUGCAAGUAUGCUUCAGUGAAGCAGAAGUUUCUACAGCUCCGUCUCAGCAAAGGGGAGGUUUCUAACGGUCCCCUGCUGACUUCAAAUGUGUUCACAGCCUGCACGCAGCAGCCACAGUGGAAACUUACCGUUAUUUUGAACCGUCUCCUCGGAUGAAGGUGAACUAUGUACACUUUCUAAAAAAGCGAACUUAACUUUUUGCAAAAGGUGUGGUAUGCAAAAUGUGUGCAUAACAAACUGUUGUGCAAGGAUCAACAUCUUAUGAUUCAUUAAAUUCAUGAAGGUGAUUUUUAAUUUGAUUCCACUUUUUUUUUUAUUAUUUACAGAUUACAGAGUGCUUUGCCCACUCCUGGCCGUAUGUUAGGCAACCCCAUCCCCUCUCAAGAACAUAUCAUUUUUGUUACAUUAUAAUAACACUUAAGAUAUUACAAUGAGUUAUUAUAUUUAAGGAGUAAUAUAAUAAAAGCAAACCUAAAAAUAUCAAAGUUCAAGAAAAUACUUCAUAAAACACAAAUAUUUUUGCUACAUUGAACUGAGAUAUCAUGUACUGCUGUCAAACCAUUUUCUAACAAGAACUCUAAAUGCUCGCACUGGUGUAUUAAAAAUUCACUCAGCAGGUGGGCAAAUGUUGUAAGGAUCAAGCAGAACAAGAGAACACAAAAGCAGUUCUAGUUUGUACAUAGGUGGACAUGGUGAUGGGCCCUCAGGAAUCUAGAUACUCUAUUAAUUAUCUCCCACAUUCUUAUUUUUCUACUCUAGCCAAACUCACAUAAGAUUGGAAAACAGAAUUUCUGGGGAAUCAAUAGCAUGUUCUUUCUCCAGCUGUGCCUGCUAAUACUAGAGAAAAGCUAACCUUACCUUUAGAAUUAAAAGAUCUAUGAAAGCAAAAAGACAGCUUAAUUAGGGACACAUUUUAGAGUCACCUGGGGACCAUUUUAAAUGCAUAGCUCCCAAGGCAGGCUAACUGAACAGAAUUUGUGGGGACGAAGCCCUAACAUGUAUAUACAUAUUAAAUAUAUUUUAUAU